rnacentral:rRNA from 1 species
AUUGAACGCUGGCGGCAGGCCUAACACAUGCAAGUCGAGCGGAUGAAGGGAGCUUGCUCCUGGAUUCAGCGGCGGACGGGUGAGUAAUGCCUAGGAAUCUGCCUGGUAGUGGGGGAUAACGUCCGGAAACGGGCGCUAAUACCGCAUACGUCCUGAGGGAGAAAGUGGGGGAUCUUCGGACCUCACGCUAUCAGAUGAGCCUAGGUCGGAUUAGCUAGUUGGUGGGGUAAAGGCCUACCAAGGCGACGAUCCGUAACUGGUCUGAGAGGAUGAUCAGUCACAGUGGAAAUGAGACAAGGUCGAGACACCUACGCGAGGCAGCAGUGGGGGAUAUUGAAGGAUGUGCGAAAGCCGGAUCCAGCCAUGCGGCGUGGGAGAAGAAAGUAUUCGGAUUUUUAGGCACUUUAAGUUGGGAGGAAGGGCAGGAAGUGAAUACCUUCGUGUUUUGACGUGACCAACAGAAUAAGACCAGGCUAACCUCGUG